CAGACUGGGAUAACUCCGGGAAACCGGAGCUAAUACCGGGUAAUACAUAGCAUCGCAUGAUGCAACGUUGAAAGUUGGCCUUUGGCUAACACUGUAGGAUGGGCCCCGCGGCGCAUUAGCUAGUUGGUAAGGUAACGGCUUACCAAGGCCACGAUGCGUAGCCGACCUGAGAGGGUGAUCGGCCACACUGGGACUGAGACACGGCCCAGACUCCUACGGGAGGCAGCAGUAGGGAAUCUUCCGCAAUGGACGAAAGUCUGACGGAGCAACGCCGCGUGAGUGACGAAGGCCUUCGGGUCGUAAAGCUCUGUUGUUAGGGAAGAACAAGUACCGUUCAAAUAGGGCGGUACCUUGACGGUACCUAACCAGAAAGCCACGGCUAACUACGUGCCAGCAGCCGCGGUAAUACGUAGGUGGCAAGCGUUGUCCGGAAUUAUUGGGCGUAAAGCGCGCGCAGGCGGUCUCUUAAGUCUGAUGUGAAAGCCCACGGCUCAACCGUGGAGGGCCAUUGGAAACUGGGGGACUUGAGUGCAGAAGAGGAGAGUGGAAUUCCACGUGUAGCGGUGAAAUGCGUAGAUAUGUGGAGGAACACCAGUGGCGAAGGCGGCUCUCUGGUCUGUAACUGACGCUGAGGCGCGAAAGCGUGGGGAGCGAACAGGAUUAGAUACCCUGGUAGUCCACGCCGUAAACGAUGAGUGCUAGGUGUUGGGGGGUUCCACCCUCAGUGCUGAAGUUAACACAUUAAGCACUCCGCCUGGGGAGUACGACCGCAAGGUUGAAACUCAAAGGAAUUGACGGGGGCCCGCACAAGCAGUGGAGCAUGUGGUUUAAUUCGAAGCAACGCGAAGAACCUUACCAGGUCUUGACAUCCUCUGCCACUCCUAGAGAUAGGACGUUCCCCUUCGGGGGACAGAGUGACAGGUGGUGCAUGGUUGUCGUCAGCUCGUGUCGUGAGAUGUUGGGUUAAGUCCCGCAACGAGCGCAACCCUUGAUCUUAGUUGCCAGCAUUCAGUUGGGCACUCUAAGGUGACUGCCGGUGACAAACCGGAGGAAGGUGGGGACGACGUCAAAUCAUCAUGCCCCUUAUGACCUGGGCUACACACGUGCUACAAUGGACGGUACAAAGGGCAGCAACACCGCGAGGUGAAGCGAAUCCCAUAAAGCCGUUCUCAGUUCGGAUUGUAGGCUGCAACUCGCCUACAUGAAGCCGGAAUGCUAGUAAUCGC
rnacentral:rRNA from 2 species